rnacentral:rRNA from 2 species
UGUCCGGNNUUAUUGGGCGUAAAGCGAGCGCAGAGCGGUUUUUUAAGUCUGAUGUGAAAGCCUUCGGCUUAACCGGAGAAGUGCAUCGGAAACUGGGAGACUUGAGUGCAGAAGAGGACAGUGGAACUCCAUGUGUAGCGGUGGAAUGCGUAGAUAUAUGGAAGAACACCAGUGGCGAAGGCGGCUGUCUAGUCUGUAACUGACGCUGAGGCUCGAAAGCAUGGGUAGCGAACAGGAUUAGAUACCCUGGUAGUCCAUGCCGUAAACGAUGANUGCUAAGUGUUGGAGGGUUUCCGCCCUUCAUGCUGCAGCUAACGCAUUAAGCACUCCGCCUGGGGAGUAC